AGCAAACAGUAGCAGUAUCGUAGCCAAUGAGGUUUAUCUGAGGCACGAUCAUUGCUAAUUGAAAACUUUGCCCAAUACCCUGCUGUGAUGACUUGCAAUACAGUCGACAUUGGCAAUUUUUGACAGUCUCUAAGGAGA
ensembl:snRNA U4 U4 spliceosomal RNA